rnacentral:rRNA from 1 species
CAAUAGCGUAUAUUAAAGUUGUUGCAGUUAAAAAGCUCGUAGUUGAAUUUUGGGCCCGGAUGGGCGGUCCGCUUCACGGCGUGUACUGUCCGGCUGGGCCUUUCCUCUUGGUGAUCUGUCGUACUUGUGCGGCAGUGGAACCAGGACCUUUACUUUGAAGAAAUUAGAGUGUUCAAAGCAGGCUAGACGCCCGAAUAUAUUAGCAUGGAAUAAUAAAAUAGGACGUGCGGUUCUAUUUUGUUGGUUUUUGGAAUCGCCGUAAUGAUUAAUAGGGACGGUCGGGGCCAUUAGUACUCACAUGCUAGAGGUGAAAUUCUUGGAUUUUGUGAAGACUAACUUCUGCGAAAGCAUUUGCCAAGGACGUUUUCAUUAA